rnacentral:rRNA from 1 species
UACGUGGGGGGCAAGCGUUGUCCGGAAUUAUUGGGCGUAAAGCGCGCGCAGGCGGUCAUUUAAGUUUGGUGUUUAAGCCCGGGGCUCAACCCCGGAUCGCACUGAAAACUGGGUGACUUGAGUGCGGGAGAGGAAAGUGGAAUUCCACGUGUAGCGGUGAAAUGCGUAGAGAUGUGGAGGAACACCAGUGGCGAAGGCGGCUCACUGGCCCGAUACUGACGCUGAGGCACGAAAGCGUGGGGAGCAAACAGG